AGAGGCGGGUGACACGGUCAAGAGCAUUUGCAACUGCCUCCCAAGCAGGUUCGCUCUCUGAGGGCCCCAGGUGGGACAGACGCUCAGGUAGAGAGCUGUGGAGGAGAAGCCGGGGCUCAUUACUAGCCGGCCUUUGGUCCCAGAUGAUUCAUUCCACAUAUUGGGUGGGCAGGCAGGCAGGCAAGUGUAUCUCUCCACAUUUGGAGGAGGGGUUUUUGUGUCUUUGGAGGAUCUUUCUGUAUCUCAGUGGUGGGCAGGUGACAUGGCUUUGGUCUCUGUGAGAGGUCUCUUCAUAUCUCUGAUGGGAGGGCAUCUCUGUCCUUGGAGGAAUCUCUCUGUCUUUGGGCAGUCUUUCUAGUGGAGCUUCUCUGUCUCUGGAGUUCUCUUUGUGUGUCUGAGGGUCACUCUGUCUCUGGAGAGGUUUCUCUCAGAGAGUAGGGGUCUCUUUUGAAGUCUGUGUCCCUGAGGAGGAUGUCUCUAUGUCUCUGGGAAGGAUGUUUUUCUUGAGGCCAGUAUGAAUGUCCCUUUCCAUGUCUCCAGAGGAAGUAUGGGAGGGGGCCCUUUCUGUGGCCCUUUCCCAGGAGAAUAGAGUUGGGGAGAGGAAGGAAAGGACCUCAGAACAUCUGGGAUAGGGACAGACUCCCUGAAGAAAGAAUGGGCCAACUCCCCAUGGGGAGAACAUUAGGUCAUGCUGGGGCCCUUCUCCUCAUCCUCUCUAGGGCUUGCCUUAUCGAAGAGGGGGGCCACUGCUCACCAAGGUAAUUGUCCGGCUGAUAUAACUGUCACUCAGCAGCUCUUGGACGCUUGGGUUCUCAUGGAAGCUCUCUACCCACUGCUGGAAGCUGGAAGGUCAAGAGACGGAAGUAGAAGCUCAGGUCAGGUCUCUCCUUUGCAGCCCACCUCUCAAGUUCUGAACUCACCUCCUCCAGGAAGCCCUCCAGAGAUGCUUCCUCUAAUCUGUGGUGGACAAUCCCCUGAAGAUAGAUGGCUUCUUCUUGCCUCUCUAGCUCAUUCCACCCUCCAGAAUCAAGGGUCAUCGCCUGUCCCCUGUACCUCUGCAGGAAUUCAGCCAGAACUCCCAGGCAGCAGUGUGCCAUCCGCACCCCAAAUUCCUGGCUGAAGCGAGGGGCCUGAUCCGUGUGCUCUUCCAGCAGCUAGAGGAUAGAGAUGGAGAAGUGAGACCCCCUUUUCUCCAACCCCAAGCAAUCUCCUCACUUGGAGUGGUGUGGGCACCUUGGAGAUCUUCCCUCUUUGCCUCCCCUAACUCCAAAGCAUGUUAAAGUUUUCACAUUUUAAAUCUUUAACUUUAUAGAAUUUUGCAUUUGCAGAAUUUUACGUGUUAGAGCUAUAUAAUUUUAGACUGGUAGGAUUACAGAAUCUUAGAUUGUGAGAUUAUUUAAUUAUUGAAAUUAUAAAAUAUAAGGUUAAUAAUAGCUAAGAUUUAUAUGGUACUUUAAGAUUUGUAAGGUGCUAUUCAUAUGCUAUCACAUUUGAUCCUCACAGCAACCCUGGGAGGUAGGUAUUAUUAUUAUAUUUAUAUAUUUUUUUCUUUUUAGGCAGUUAAGCUUAAGUGACUUGCCCAGGGUCACACAGCUAGUAAGUGUUUGAGGUUAGAUUUGAACUCAGAUCCUCUAGACUCCAGAGUUACUGCUCUAUCCACCACACCACCUAGCUGCCCCAGGUGCUCUUAUUAUCCCCAUUUUACAUAUGAGGAACCUGAGGCCGACAGAAACAGGGUGACUUGGGGGCAGGGUCACACAGCUACUAGUAAGUGUUUGAGGCCAGAUUUGAACUCAGGUCUUCCUGACUCCAGGCCUACUCAGCAUUCUAAGCACUGCAUCAUCUUAGCUUCUUUGUGUUUGUUAUAAAAUAAGCUUUGUUUUAUAAUAUUUAUCAUAUUAUAUGUUAUUGUAAAAAUCUGUGUGUAAUGUAGACUCUUAACAUUAUAUCAGUUUAGAAUCAUAGAAUCCCCAAAUUUCAGUCUCAAAGAACACUUCAAUCUUAGAAGAACAAAAUCUUGGAUGUCUCUCAUUUAGCACCUUAGAAUCAAAGAGCUUGGCUCCAAGGAAUCUUUGGAUUUAUAGAGUCUCAGAAUCAUCUACUUUGCUAAUCCUGGAAUU
ensembl:lncRNA